rnacentral:rRNA from 1 species
AUGCGCAGGCCAUCAGUUCAUAAGGCCUCCACGACGAGCAGCACCUCUGAAUCCAAGAACUGCGAGGAAUUUAUCAAAGAAAAAAAAAACUACGAGGAAGAAAUUGUGGGGGAAGGGGCAGAGGAUGAGAGGAGGCAGCAGGGCCGCUCGACGGCGCACGCCCAGCCCCGCAGCCGUCGGAUCGCCGGUGAACUCGUCCGCUGCCGCCCUCGCCGUGGUGGCAGGCUAGCUGCAGCUCAACUGCCUCAAGAGCCGAGUCUACGCUUCCGUUUCCCUUUCGACAGGAGCGCGCGCUCCCGGAAGCACCAACGGAUUUCCGGUGAUUUACACAGAAUACAUAACACUAUGAUGCCACCCUAUGACGCUCAUGGUUCCGUGAUUAACUGUUUGAAACUAAUACUCCCUCCGUCCCAAAAUAAAUGUCUUGAGUUUAAUACAAAUUUAUACUAG